rnacentral:rRNA from 1 species
GUGAGGUAAUGGCUCACCAAGGCGACGACGGGUAGCCGGCCUGAGAGGGUGACCGGCCACACUGGGACUGAGACACGGCCCAGACUCCUACGGGAGGCAGCAGUGGGGAAUAUUGCACAAUGGGCGCAAGCCUGAUGCAGCGACGCCGCGUGAGGGAUGACGGCCUUCGGGUUGUAAACCUCUUUCAGUAGGGAAGAGGCGAAAGCGACGGUACCUGCAGAAGAAGCACCGGCCAACUACGUGCCAGCAGCCGCGGUAAUACGUAGGGUGCGAGCGUUGUCCGGAAUUACUGGGCGUAAAGAGCUCGUAGGUGGUUUGUCGCGUUGUUCGUGAAAACUCACAGCUCAACUGUGGGCGUGCGGGCGAUACGGGCAGACUGGAGUACUGCAGGGGAGACUGGAAUUCCUGGUGUAGCGGUGGAAUGCGCAGAUAUCAGGAGGAACACCGGUGGCGAAGGCGGGUCUCUGGGCAGUAACUGACGCUGAGGAGCGAAAGCGUGGGGAGCGAACAGGAUUAGAUACCCUGGUAGUCCACGCCGUAAACGGUGGGUACUAGGUGUGGGUUUCCUUCCUUGGGAUCCGUGCCGUAGCUAACGCAUUAAGUA